UUUCCACCUUUCGUACUUUACCUCUCAACCAUCACUCCACCACAACUUGCCCUGACGACUUCUUCAUCCCUUGGCUCAUUGGCGACUCGCGCGCGUACAUCGCCACCUAUGGGGUUGCCCAAUUAUAUUUAACAAAGAGGAACUCUCAGACUGGGAGGAAAAGAAAGAAUUAAAACAAAACAAAAAAUUAUAUGUCUUAUAUUUUCGGUAACACCAUUGCUUUGAAUAUAAUAGGAAAACACUAUUAUCAUUAUUAUUAUUUUUAAUGCAAAGUUAACGCAGUGUGUCAUUAUAUCAUUGUACAUAAAAAAAAAAUAAAAAUAAAAUAAAAUAAAUAUUUUUCUUAAAACUUAAAUUCUUACUCGCGUGCCAAGCCCGCGAAACCGGGCAGUGGGCUUAUAUAAGCCGGGGUCUGUGCCCACCGCGCGCACAGCCUGACUCCACUUUGAGUGACAUCCCCAGCAGUGCGUUUUCCUGAGUGUCGAUUGCCGUCUUAUUGUUCAGCUACAUACACCACAACGGCUCUUUUAAGAGCCACAUCUUGAGAACGUCUUUGACUUUCAGCUACAUACACCACAACGGCUCUUUUAAGAGCCACAUCUUGAGAACGUCUUUGACUUUGUUGUUCCAGCUAAAAUAAACAAAACAACAACAAAAAGAACAUGUACCUGAUAGUGGAGUUCGUCGGAGAAGGGAGUACCGGUCCUGUAGCAAAGUCCUGGUACUCAGAUGGCCACUCAUGGUGGCCUCCAUACAAAGACUUGGACCGGUUACUAAAGAGCGUCAGGUUGAUGGAGGCACCACAGCCAGAUAAGGGUUGGACCAAGCAUCAGGCCAGAAUUCUACAUGAGUCGGCAUCAUUUGACAACAUUUCCAGAAAAUGGAAAAGGGCAUGCUACACUUCUGACAUCUCAGAAUCUGAAAAUUCUAUAAAAAUAAUUCACAA